rnacentral:rRNA from 1 species
GGUUGCGAUCAUACCAGCACUAAUGCACCGGAUCCCAUCAGAACUCCGCAGUUAAGCGUGCUUGGGCGAGAGUACUACUAGGAUGGGUGACCCCCUGGGAAGUCCUCGUGUUGCAACCC